GGCAAGUCCCACUUAAUGUUUGAACAGUGAAAGUAUUGAUCAAAAACAAGAUCUUUCCAUUCCCACUGCUUCACUUGACCAGCCUUUA
rnacentral:sRNA from 1 species